rnacentral:lncRNA from 1 species
UUACUUCUUGAGUUUGUUUCAAUAAUUUGGCAUGUUCCUUCUAGUUACUUGAGUAUCAAUUACUUGAUUUUCUCCGUGUGUGAUAUGUGAAACUUGCAGUGCAAUAGCUUGUUGCACUCAUGUGAUCAAGAGGCAAAGGAAGGGAACGCACACUUNNNNNNNNCCAACCGAGAGGUAUUGAGCCAAACACUCCUUUCUCUUCUAUGUGUGAUAUCCACUCAUGUAUUGUCUCUCGAUUUUGCUUGUCGUCUUUGUAUUUGAUUGGUACUUUUGUAGCACACACGAGGCAUGUUUCUUGGUACCUUUGAGCCUUUCCAUCC